AGGGAGUAGGUUACCAUGCCAUUUCUUGCGCCAUUCUGUUAGUGAAAAAAAUGGAAUAACAUCUUGGAAACGAGUGCGGAGUAAAUUAUUAGUCUAUUUCCAACCCACAAAUGAAAAUUAUUCUGACGAGAAACAUUCGUGAACCCUGUGAUUACUCCUUACCACUUAAGUGGGUUGCUCCCGGACUAUCAAAAAGGACAGCUUUAGUUUGUGGUAAAUUUAGUCCGAUGGGGGGUCAUUAUGCAUUGAUGGGACCACCAAAACAGCAUUUGUUUCCGCGGGACGCAUCUUUAGUCUUCGUGGGAAUUUAGCAGGUACACCCAAUAAUAUCCGUGGUGACACUGCCAAGGUAAUGGAGACUAGACGAGUCUGAAAAUCAACGCUUUCUUGACCAUCCAAAUGGAUUUGCCAAUCGCUUUGGAGGAACAGUCUGAUGAAACGAUAGUAUUUGUGAGCAUUCAGGACUUUACAAAGAAGUGCGUCGUUCGAUCCUUAAGCAUACCAAAGAAUGUUAAUUUGAUGGCAUGCAUACCAUUCGGACAACGCUUACAUUGACGAUAACAAAAGUGUUGCUGUCGAAUGUUCCAUGAAGUAAAUUCCUUAGUUUUCUGGGAAGGUGUCAUCAUGCUGUUACUCGUUCGAUCAAUUCUAGUUCUUAUGUACUGGGAAAACCAAUUGAACAUACCGUUGUACAACGUGCUAUCAGUAUUAAGAGCCGAUUUCUUCACCUUCGCCCAACUUUUAAACCAGGUUCACCAGUACGUUUAGACCUGGCUUAAGCGCUAAGCGAGGGUGAAGAAAUCGGCCCUAAGUGACUCUGCUUCGCAAUGUUCAGAGGAAUGCUGCUGACUCGAAGCGCACGACGGUUCAUCAUUCAGUGAACGCAAAGUGUGGAGUAUGGUGACGACCAGUGGCAGUAUCUUAAGAAGCCCAGCCGGAAUUCAGGCUGGCUCUAGUUAAACUCGGUUGUGUCACUGGAGCUGAAGUAUUUUCUCGGUAGAUUUACUGGGAUAGUGCAGGUGGCAUGUGAAAGGCAAUGAUGAAGGCAAAUGU